rnacentral:rRNA from 1 species
GAUGAACGCUGGCGGCGUGCCUAAUACAUGCAAGUCGAGCGAACGGACGAGAAGCUUGCUUCUCUGAUGUUAGCGGCGGACGGGUGAGUAACACGUGGAUAACCUACCUAUAAGACUGGGAUAACUUCGGGAAACCGGAGCUAAUACCGGAUAAUAUUUUGAACCGCAUGGUUCAAAAGUGAAAGACGGUCUUGCUGUAACUUAUAGAUGGAUCCGCGCUGCAUUAGCUAGUUGGUAAGGUAACGGCUUACCAAGGCAACGAUGCAUAGCCGACCUGAGAGGGUGAUCGGCCACACUAGAACGUAGACACGGUCCAGACUCCUACGGGAGGCAGCAGUAGGGAAUCUUCCGCAAUGGGCGAAAGCCUGACGGAGCAACGCCGCGUGAGUGAUGGAGGUCUUCGGAUCGUAAAACUCUGUUAUUAGGGAAGAACAUAUGUGUAAGGAACUGUGCACAUCUUGACGGUACCUAAUCAGAAAGCCACGGCUAACUACGUG